rnacentral:rRNA from 1 species
GACGAACGCUGGCGGCGUGCUUAACACAUGCAAGUCGAACGGAAAGGCCCUGCUUUUGUGGGGUGCUCGAGUGGCGAACGGGUGAGUAACACGUGAGUAACCUGCCCUUGACUUUGGGAUAACUUCAGGAAACUGGGGCUAAUACCGGAUAGGAGCUCCUGCUGCAUGGUGGGGGUUGGAAAGUUUCGGCGGUUGGGGAUGGACUCGCGGCUUAUCAGCUUGUUGGUGGGGUAGUGGCUUACCAAGGCUUUGACGGGUAGCCGGCCUGAGAGGGUGACCGGCCAACAUUGGGACUGAGUAAGGGCCCGGACUCGGUAGGAAGGAAGGAGGGGGGAAUGUGGCAGAAGGGGGGGAGGCCUGAUGCAGCAACCCCGGGUGGGGGGGAGCGGCCUUCGGGUGGAAAACCGCUUUCGCCUGGAACGACAGGGGAGGGAGGGGAAUGGGGAAAAAAGCACCGGCAAACAUCGG